UGUGGGAGCGGGCGUGCCCGCGAAAGCGUCAGGUCAGGCACCUCAAUGGCCUGAUCGGACGCUUUCGCGGGCACGCCCGCUCCCACA
rnacentral:ncRNA from 8 species